rnacentral:rRNA from 1 species
CAGCAGCCACGGUAAUACGGAGGGGGCUAGCGUUGUUCGGAAUUACUGGGCGUAAAGGGCGCGUAGGCGGCGAUCAAAGUCAGGCGUGAAAUUCCUGGGCUCAACCUGGGGGCUGCGCUUGAUACUUGGUUGCUUGAGUGGGGAAGAGGGUCGUGGAAUUCCCAGUGUAGAGGUGAAAUUCGUAGAUAUUGGGAAGAACACCGGUGGCGAAGGCGGCGACCUGGUCCUUGACUGACGCUGAGGCGCGAAAGCGUGGGGAGCAAACAGGAUUAGAUACCCCCGUAGUCCCUGUCUCUUAUAC